GAUUGUUAUCAAAACAUAUUAGCAAUUUGUGACUUCAACAUGAUUUUUACGUUCGUCGUGGCCGGCUGGGAAGGUGUAGCACAUGAUGCAAGAAUAUUAUCAGAGGCAUUAUCAGAUACAGAUGCACCAUUCCCGUUUCCACCACAAGACAAGUAUUAUCUUUGUGAUGCCGCGUAUGCACACAUACGGGGAUUUAUGGCUCCAUAUCGUAAUGUGAGGUAUUGGCUAGGAGAUUUUCGCCGAAGACGUGCAUUGACUAA